rnacentral:rRNA from 1 species
CCCGGGCCUUGUACACACCGCCCGUCACACCACGAGAGUUUGUAACACCCGAAGUCGGUGGGGUAACCUUUAUGGAGCCAGCCGCCUAAGGUGGGACAGAUGAUUGGGGUGAAGUCGUAACAAGGUAGCCGUAUCGGAAGGUGCGGCUGGAUCACCUCCUUUCUAAGGA